rnacentral:rRNA from 1 species
AGCAGUCGCCACGGUAAUACAGAGGUCUCAAGCGUUGUUCGGAUUCAUUGGGCGUAAAGGGUGCGUAGGUGGCGGUGUAAGUCUAACGUGAAAUCUCGGGGCUCAACCUCGAAAUUGCGUCGGAUACUGCAUUGCUAGAGGAUUGUAGAGGAGAGUGGAAUUCAUGGUGUAGCAGUGAAAUGCGUAGAUAUCAUGAGGAAGACCAGUUGCGAAGGCGACUCUCUGGGCAAUUCCUGACACUGAGGCACGAAGGCUAGGGGAGCAAACGGGAUUAGAUACCCCAGUAGUCCCUGUCUCUUAUAU